rnacentral:rRNA from 1 species
AUUGAACGCUGGCGGCAGGCCUAACACAUGCAAGUCGAGCGAGCGGCGGACGGGUGUGUAAUGUAUGGGGACUGCCCGAUAGAGGGGGAUAACUCCUGGCAACGGUAGCUAAUACCGCAUACUAUCGGAUAACCCAUAUGGGAUUAGCUAGUAGGUGAGGUAAUGGCUCACCUAGGCGACGAUCCCUAGCUGGUCUGAGAGGAUGAUCAGCCACACUGGGACUGAGACACGGCCCAGACUCCUACGGAGGCAGCAGUGGGGAAUCUUGGGCAAUGGGCGAAAGUCUGACCGAGCAACGCCGCGUGAGUGAAGAAGGUUUUCGGGUCGUAAAGCUCUGUUGUUAGGGAAGCGUUAUCUAACCAGAAAGCCACGGCUAACUACGUGCCAGCAGCCGCGGUAAUUC